rnacentral:piRNA from 2 species
UUUUAGCCUUACAAUUUCUUUGGAAAUGACC